rnacentral:rRNA from 1 species
CGUGGUUCGGAAUCACUGGGCGUAAAGCGCACGUAGGCGGCUGUGAAAGUUAGUGGUGAAAGCCCGUAGCUUAACUGCGGAACUGCCAUUGAUACUGCUAAUCUUGAGUACAUUUGAUGUGGGCGGAAUGUGUCGUGUAGCGGUGAAAUGCUUAGAUAUGACACAGAACACCGAUUGCGAAGGCAGCUCACAAAACUGUUACUGACGCUGAGGCACGAAAGCGUGGGGAUCG